GACAGAGGGUGCAAACGUUGUUCGGAAUUACUGGGCGUAAAGCGCGCGUAGGCGGCUCGGAAAGUCGGUCGUGAAAUGCCGGGGCUCAACCCCGGGACUGCGUCCGAUACUGCGGUGCUUGAGGACUGGAGAGGAGACUGGAAUUCAUGGUGUAGCAGUGAAAUGCGUAGAGAUCAUGAGGAAGACCAGUGGCGAAGGCGGGUCUCUGGACAGUUCCUGACACUGAGACACGAAGGCCAGGGGAGCAAACGGG
rnacentral:rRNA from 1 species